rnacentral:rRNA from 1 species
UACGUAGGGUGCAAGCGUUAAUCGGAAUUACUGGGCGUAAAGCGUGCGCAGGCGGUUUUGUAAGACUGUCGUGAAAUCCCCGGGCUUAACCUGGGAAUGGCGAUGGUGACUGCAAGGCUAGAGUUUGGCAGAGGGGGGUAGAAUUCCACGUGUAGCAGUGAAAUGCGUAGAGAUGUGGAGGAACACCGAUGGCGAAGGCAGCCCCCUGGGUCAAGACUGACGCUCAUGCACGAAAGCGUGGGGAGCAAACAAG